GCGGCGAAGACCGUGAACCCCAAGACCGAGGUGGCCCGAGCGCAGGCAGCGCUGGCGGUCAACGUCAGCGCGGCGCGGCGUCUGCGGGACGUGCUGAGGACCAACCUGGGGUCCAAAGGUACCAUCAAGAUGCUUGUUUCUCGCGUUGGAGACAUCAGGCUUACUAAAGACACAGGAGUUGACGACCAGCCCUGGCCAACACGGUGAAACUCGGUCUCUACUAAAAAUACAAAAAUUAGUCAGGCAUGUUCCUGCACAGUGUGCUGCUUCACGAAAUGCAAAUUCAACACCCAACAGCUUCCUUAAUAGCAAAGGUAGCAACAGCCCAGGAUUAUAUAACUGGGGAUGGUACGACUUCCAAUGUCCUAAUCAUUGGAGAGCUACUGAAACAGGCGGAUCUGUACAUUUCUGAAGACCUUCAUCCCAGAAUAAUCACUGAAGGAUUUGAAGUUGUGAAGGAAAAGGCCCUUCAGUUUUUGGAAGAAGUCAAAGUAAGCAGAGAGAUGGACAAGGAAACACUUAAAGAUGUGGCCAGAGCAUCUCCUCGUACCAAAGUUCACGCUGAAUUUGCAGAUGUCUUAACAGAGAUCUAUAUUAAAUUUUGUGCUGUAGUGGGCUCCAUUUUGGCCAUUAAAAGAAAAGAUGAACUUAUUGAUCUCUUCAUGGUUUUGUGAUCAUGGAGAUGAAACAUAAAUCUGAAACUGAUACAAGCUUAAUUAGAGGGCUUGUUUUGGAUCACGGAGUAUAGCAUCCUGAUAGAAAAAAAGGGUGGAGGAUGCAUACAUCCUCACUUGUAACAUGUCAUUAGAAUAUGAAAAAACUUAAGUUUAUAGCCCUUUUUUUUACAAGAGUGCAGAAGAGAGAGAAAAACUCAUAAAAGCUGAAAGAAAAUUCAUUGAAGAUAGAGUUAAAUAAUAGAACUGAAAAGGAAAGUCUGUGGUGAUUCAGAUAAAGGAUUUGUUAUUAAUCAAAAGGGAAUUGACCCCUUUUCCUCAGAUGCUCUUUCAAGAGAAGGCGUAGUCGCUCUGCGCAGAGCUAAAAGGAGAAAUAUGGAGAGGCUGACUCUUGCUUGGGGUGGGGUGGCCCUGAAUUCUUUUGACGACCUCAGUCCUGACUGCUUGGGACAUGCAGGACUUUUAUGUGAGUAUACAUUGGUUCUUGCUCAGAAUUCUGGUUCUGACCUUCAGGAAACAUUAGUUAAAAUUUAAGCAGAACAUUCAGAAUCAGUUCAGCUCGUGGGUGUGAACUUGAACACAGGUGAGCCAGUGGUAGCAGCAGAAGUAGGCGUUACAGGAUAACGAUUGUGUAAAGAAACAGCUUCAUCACUCUUGCGCUGUGAUUGCCACCAACAUUCUCUUGGUUGAUGAGAUCAUGUGAGCCUGGAAUGCCUUCUCUGAAAGGUUGAAUUGAAGCUUCCUCUCUGAGUCUUGAAGACUCUGCAAAGUGAUCCUGAGGAAUACAGCUGUGGAGUUUUUGUCCAAGCUUCAAAUGAGUUUCAAAGGAAUUUUCCCAUAUGAGAAAAGAAGAGAACACUGGCAUCUGUUGAAAUUCGGAAGUUCUGAGAUUAUAAUUACAGUAUUCUUUUAAAAGUUGCACUGAAGUGUACAUACAUAAAGCAGGUCUUUCACCCAGUGAACAGGAUGUUUUGCUUUAGCAGCAGUGACAUAAAAUUCCACGUUAGAUAAGCAUGUAUUACCUACAUUAUUAAAUAUUUCUUGAAAAGCAGAUUUUAAUAGUUUAAUUUUAUGUGGACGUAUGUUAAAUUAUUCAACAGUACCCUAUUGUUAAGCAUUUGGUUUUAAAUUUUUUAUGCUAAUAUAAAGCUUAAGUAAUUUAAAAUUUUGAGAGCAUCCCUGUUAGUGUAAAUUUCUGAGUAAAUUCAUUGGAUCAGUUGGAGUUUUCAUGCUUUUGAAAUAGCCUUGCUAAAAUGCUCCCCCUACAAAGUUAAGUUGUAGGAAAUGGGAAGAGGAGUAAACUAGAGGCAAGGGAGUUGAGAGAGCUGGAAGGUGUGGUGACUAAGGGCUACAGUUAUGGGGUUAAAUUUGAGAUUUGUAGGCUAACUGUAUUUUCAAGUUUCUGAAAGCCUCUAGCAUCAUAUUUUUCUCACCCAAAUAACUACGUUUCCACAAUAUUAUUUAUAUAGUUGUUGAUCUGUCUCUGCAGUCCUUGAAGGUGAUGUUGAUGUUACUAGGCUGUGUGUUUUGGGGGCUCAGCAGUGGCCUGAAGUGAGCAUGCAAUAAAUGUUAAGUUGAAACUUC